rnacentral:rRNA from 1 species
UUAUGGCUCAGGAUGAACGCUGGCGGCGUGCUUAACACAUGCAAGUCGAACGGAGUUUUUAACGGAAGUUUCGGAUGGAAGUUUAGAAACUUAGUGGCGGACGGGUGGGUAACGCGUGGGUAACCUGCCUCACACAGGGGGAUAACAGUUAGAAAUGACUGCUAACACCGCAUAAUAUAGCGAAACCGCAUGAUUUUGCUAUCAAAUAUUUAUAGGUAUGAGAUGAGCCCGCGUCUGAUUAGCUAGUUGGUGGGGUAAAAGCCUACCAAGGCGACGAUCAGUAGCCGGCUUGAGAGAGUGACCGGCCACAUUGGGACUGAGACACGGCCCAAACUCCUACGGGAGGCAGCAGUGGGGAAUAUUGGACAAUGGGGGAAACCCUGAUCCAGCGAACCGCCGCGUGAGUGAAGAAGUAUUUCGGUAUGUAAAGCUCUAUCAGCAGGGAAGAUAAUGACAGUACCUGACUAAGAAGCCCCGGCUAACUACGUGCCAGCAGCCGC